rnacentral:rRNA from 1 species
UACACAAAAAUGCACAUGCUGUGAGCUCGAUGAGUAGGGCGGGACACGUGGUAUCCUGUCUGAAUAUGGGGGGACCAUCCUCCAAGGCUAAAUACUCCUGACUGACCGAUAGUGAACCAGUACCGUGAGGGAAAGGCGAAAAGAACCCCGGCGAGGGGAGUGAAAAAGAACCUGAAACCGUGUACGUACAAGCAGUGGGAGCACAGAGCAAUCUGUGUGACUGCGUACCUUUUGUAUAAUGGGUCAGCGACUUAUAUUCUGUAGCAAGGUUAACCGAAUAGGGGAGCCGAAGGGAAACCGAGUCUUAACUGGGCGUUAAGUUGCAGGGUAUAGACCCGAAACCCGGUGAUCUAGCCAUGGGCAGGUUGAAGGUUGGGUAACACUAACUGGAGGACCGAACCGACUAAUGUUGAAAAAUUAGCGGAUGACUUGUGGCUGGGGGUGAAAGGCCAAUCAAACCGGGAGAUAGCUGGUUCUCCCCGAAAGCUAUUUAGGUAGCGCCUCGUGAAUUCAUCUCCGGGGGUAGAGCACUGUUUCGGCAAGGGGGUCAUCCCGACUUACCAACCCGAUGCAAACUGCGAAUACCGGAGAAUGUUAUCACGGGAGACACACGGCGGGUGCUAACGUCCGUCGUGAAGAGGGAAACAACCCAGACCGCCAGCUAAGGUCCCAAAGUCAUGGUUAAGUGGGAAACGAUGUGGGAAGGCCCAGACAGCCAGGAUGUUGGCUUAGAAGCAGCCAUCAUUUAAAGAAAGCGUAAUAGCUCACUGGUCGAGUCGGCCUGCGCGGAAGAUGUAACGGGGCUAAACCAUG